rnacentral:pre_miRNA from 1 species
AUGAUGUCAUCCCACCAAACAAGUGAGAGUGUGUCAAAAUAGGUCUAUACUUUCAAUUGUUUGAUGAGGUGAAAUCAUUUUAA